AUAGCGUAUAUUAAAGUUGUUGCAGUUAAAAAGCUCGUAGUUGAACCUUGGGUCUGGGUGACUGGUCUCCCUAACUGGGUGCACUGAGAACCCGGACCUUUCCUUCUGGCAAGCCUCAUGCCCUUUACUGGGUGUGUUGGGGAACCAGGACUUUUACUUUGAAAAAAUUAGAGUGUUCAAAGCAGGCAUUUGCUCGAAUACAUUAGCAUGGAAUAAUAGAAUAGGACGUGCGGUUCUAUUUUGUUGGUUUCUAGGACUGCCGUAAUGAUUAAUAGGGAUAGUCGGGGGCAUCCGUAUUCAAUUGUCAGAGGUGAAAUUCUUGGAUUUAUUGAAGACGAACUACUG
rnacentral:rRNA from 1 species